AAAAAGGGGGGACAUAAAAUGCACGGAAGAUAAGGCCGCUUAUACUUAACCGGAAGCGUCAGUGGCGGCACGAGAGAUAGCACGAACGAUCGUGUGGUAUGAAGGAAACAUCCGCGUCAGCCAGCUGGACAAGCCUGCACGCAUACCGACACUUGUUUACAUCGCGAACGGUUGUUGCGGAUGCGCCCUGUAUGUAUGUACGUGCGUGUAGAGGAAUCCGGGGCCAGUUAGGUUUGGUAAGCCGGUGGUGGUGUGCCAGGGAUAUCUAUCUUUGGCUCCACGCACGAAGUGCGCGCGCGCACACCGGCCAUCUCUUGCUCAAUCGUCUCACGCCCGUGUCGGUGACCAGUGACACCGUUAAACGCGACCAUUAUUUCGAAUGCGCCCCGCGGGUAGGAUAUUUCCGUGGUGACCGUAGAUAGAGCCGAUGGAUCGCGCCGUUAACGACGAAACGCACUCCCGCCGUGGAACGUAUUACACGUAUCCCCAGUGUUGUGCUAUCUUUCAGCCGCAGUGAAAUGCACGCGUCAGUGAUCCUCAACUUUCGCCGCUCGUGGCUAGUUUGAUCGUGAUUGUUGGUCGCAAUGGAGUGAUUAGGACGACGUUGGAAGGGUGAGCGUUGUUUGACGACUACGGCCGCGAUAUCAGAGCUACGAGGAUUUGUAAAGGGGCAAUUUUGAUAGAGUUGCAUGAAGUCUGAAUAGGAAAAGAUCGGAAUAUAUUUGGCAGGAUUCGUUGAAAUUCUCAAAACAAGCGCAGAAAUGGACAACACUUUGGAGGAUAGCGACUAGUGGUGGAAUGCAAGUAUCUACUGACACACUGUCAUGGCUGAAAAAAGGCUGAUCGACCGGUGUCGAAGUGUCGAAUCGCGAAAUGGACGUUACGAGACUUGCACGAUGCAAGAUGUUUGCUAGAGCGAAGGUACACGACAGACACGGCGGAACGCACGGAAGCUUUAAAAUUACCACUUACGCGUACUUACACUAACAGAUAAAUGCCGUCCGAGUAUUUACCGAUUCACGCUUCGGUAACCUUCGACGUCACUAAAAGUCAGCCAUGUACGUUCGCUUACACGUUGCAUGUAUAAACAGGUAACGACGUGGAGAAGCCGACUUGCGUCAGAGUGGUAAUAUCGGUGCAUUAAUUAUGGCGAUUAAAGAUUACGGACGAUCGCCACGUGAAUCAAGAAAAACGGCGAUAUACGAGAAAAAAUACACGUGCUGUUACGUACGUGAUGUUUAAAAUUAAUCGCAAUUGCAAUCGACGAAGAUUAAGAUGUAUCUCCAACGGAGAUCGCUGUUACACGUGUCACGUGUGUAACGCGUUCAUUGUAAACAAGGAUCGCAUGAUUUUCAUUCAUAGUUAAAUAUAUAUACUCUCGUUUGACGUUGAGGACAGUAAGAAGUUACCCCUUUUCUAAAACUCGAGAGUUUUCUACGUAGUAACUUCGGACAUAGUAACAAUUGCCGUACAUGUGCAUGUGCAUCAAAUAAGAAUAAAUACUGUUGAAAGGUUA